UCCCUUCGGGGUGACGCUUGUGGAACGAGCGGCGGACGGGUGAGUAACACGUGGGCAACCUGCCUGUAAGAUCGGAAUAACUCCGGGAAACCGGAGCUAAUGCCGGGUAAUACAUUUCUCCGCAUGGAGAGAUGUUAAAAGAUGGCUUCUCGCUAUCACUUACAGAUGGGCCCGCGGCGCAUUAGCUAGUUGGUGAGGUAACGGCUCACCAAGGCGACGAUGCGUAGCCGACCUGAGAGGGUGAUCGGCCACACUGGGACUGAGACACGGCCCAGACUCCUACGGGAGGCAGCAGUAGGGAAUCUUCCGCAAUGGACGAAAGUCUGACGGAGCAACGCCGCGUGAACGAUGAAGGUCUUCGGAUCGUAAAGUUCUGUUGUUAGGGAAGAACAAGUACCGUGCGAAUAGAGCGGUACCUUGACGGUACCUAACGAGGAAGCCCCGGCUAACUACGUGCCAGCAGCCGCGGUAAUACGUAGGGGGCAAGCGUUGUCCGGAAUUAUUGGGCGUAAAGCGCUCGCAGGCGGUUCCUUAAGUCUGAUGUGAAAGCCCACGGCUCAACCGUGGAGGGUCAUUGGAAACUGGGGAACUUGAGGACAGAAGAGGAGAGUGGAAUUCCACGUGUAGCGGUGAAAUGCGUAGAUAUGUGGAGGAACACCAGUGGCGAAGGCGA
rnacentral:rRNA from 1 species